CCGGUCUCUCCCUCUCUUCCCGGUCUCUCCCUCUCUUCCCGGUCUCUCCCUCUCUUCCCGGUCUCUCCCUCUCUUCCCGGUCUCUCCCUCUCUUCCCGGUCUCUCCCUCUCUUCCCGGUCUCUCCCUCUCUUCCCGGUCUCUCCCUCUCUUCCCGGUCUCUCCCUCUCUUCCCGUCUCUCCCUCUCUUCCAGGUCUCUCCCUCUCUUCCCGGUCUCUCCCUCUCCUCCCGGUCUCUCCCUCUCUACACACAGGUCCACAGGAGAAGGGUUUUCCACUAUGUUGUAGGAUACUGAGCCGUACUGAGUCAGGUGUUGCAGGCGUCUCUUUUUAUUGAUACACAGGUUUAAAUACAGACGUGAUACAUUCAUUGGCCUCAAUGUGUUUUUGUGUGUUUUAAAAAAAAAUUAACAGACAGGGUUUUCAUUUUUAAAAAAAGAAUGAAAAACAUCCAUUGAUAUGCUGCCGUGAUAAAUCUAUAGUUGAAUGGCUGCAUUCACUGGCACAGAUUAGACCUUUCACUGAAAGUACAGACAAUCUGGAGAAAACACAUGUUUUCCUAUGGCUUUACUUCAAAUAAAGUAAUAUAGUCCUGUAGGAGAGCAACACUCCAGAGAACCAUGUGGAAAAUAUACACAGUACACAAGAACAUAUAGUACUAGCAGUAACAGCACAUGUAGUACUAGCAGUAACAGAACAUGCAGUACUAGCAGUAACAGAACAUGUAGUACUAGCAGAAACAGAACAUGUAGUACUAGCAGUAAUAUAACAUGUAGUACUAGCAGUAACAGAACAUGCAGUACUAGCAGUAAUAUAACAUUUAGUACUAGCAGAAACAGAACAUGUAGUACUAGCAGUAAUAUAACAUGUAGUACUAGCAGUAAUAUAACAUGUAGUACUAGCAGUAAUAUAACAUUUAGUACUAGCAGAAACAGAACAUGUAGUACUAGCAGUAACAGAACAUGUAGUACUAGCAGUAAUAUAACAUGUAGUACUAGCAGUAACAGAACAUGCAGUACUAGCAGUAAUAUAACAUGUAGUACUAGCAGUAACAGAACAUGUAGUACUAGCAGUAAUAUAACAUGUAGUACUAGCAGUAAUAUAACAUGUAGUACUAGCAGUAAUAUAACAUGUAGUACUAGCAGUAAUAUAACAUGUAGUACUAGCAGUAAUAUAACAUGUAGUACUAGCAGUAAUAUAACAUGUAGUACUAGCAGUAAUAUAACAUGUAGUACUAGCAGUAAUAUAACAUGUAGUACUAGCAGUAAUAUAACAUGUAGUACUAGCAGUAAUAUAACAUGUAGUACUAGCAGUAAUAUAACAUGCAGUAAUAUAACAUGUAGUACUAGCAGUAAUAUAACAUGUAGUACUAGCAGUAAUAUAACAUGUAGUACUAGCAGUAA